rnacentral:rRNA from 1 species
UACGGAGGGUGCAAGCGUUAAUCGGAAUUACUGGGCGUAAAGCGCGCGUAGGCGGUUUGCUAAGCCAGAUGUGAAAGCCCUGGGCUCAACCUGGGAACUGCAUUUGGAACUGGCAGGCUAGAGUACGGUAGAGGGUGGUAGAAUUUCCUGUGUAGCGGUGAAAUGCGUAGAUAUAGGAAGGAAUACCGGUGGCGAAGGCGGCCACCUGGACCGAUACUGACGCUGAGGUGCGAAAGCGUGGGGAGCAAACAGG